GGAUUGUAGCUCAGUGGUAGAGUGCUUGCUUCGCAUGCGUGAGACACUGGGUUGGAUCCUCAGCACCA
rnacentral:tRNA from 1 species